rnacentral:rRNA from 1 species
UACGUAGGGCGCAAGCGUUGUCCGGAUUCACUGGGUGUAAAGGGUGCGCAGGCGGGAAAGUAAGUUAGAGGUGAAAUCUCACAGCUCAACUGUGAAACGGCCUUUGAUACUGCUUUUCUUGAGUUAGGGAGAGGUUGAUGGAAUUCCAGGUGUAGCGGUGAAAUGCGUAGAUAUCGGGAGGAACACCAGUGGCGAAGGCGACUACCUGGCCCAUUCUUGACGCUGAGGCGCGAAAGCUAGGGGAGCGAACGGG